CCUCUCUUUAUCCUGCAAGGAAGCUCUGCAGGAAACUCUCCAAGAGGACAAUAAGCCCCCUUGCCUUUGCAAAAACAUUUUAAUACCUGUUAUUUUCAGCUGAGUCCCGCACAGAUCGGCAGCACCGGUUUUGAAGGCCACGUGUACUCCAGAAAUAUAACUACUGGAUAAAUGAGGGGGAAAUAGGUUUUGUUUUGUUUGAAAUUUUACGAAGAGUUGGCCAUUUUGCAGAUUCUUGUCACCAACGGUACCACUGCUCCGCCUUGAAUGCUGUCUCCCCUGAGCUGUGAGUCCCAGGGCAGAUGCUACCCUUCUCACCCUGUGUCCCAGCUCCAGUCACACCCACUGGUCCAAUGUGGGCUGGCACAGAAGACUGCAGGCCUGGGGGUGCCCAGCACUGGGACUGGAGAUCAGAACACCUGACUUCAAAGUCUGGUUUGAGCACUUUCUAGCUGUGUGCCCUUGGAAAUCCUGUAUUUUCUAGGCACCAGAGGGCUGUCAGAACAGGGACAGGAAACAGGGGAGCUGGAAUGGAGUCAUGGAGAAGUUGAUCAGGGAGGCCACUCAAGUGUCUCCACCUGUGGAAACUCAUGCUGGCUCCAGGAUGCAGGCGUGUGCAGCAGGUGAAGGGGUUGAGGCUGGGGAGCGGGAUACCAGGCAGAAAGAAAGGCAAGAGCAAGAGAGCAGGGUGUUCAUGGGCGUCUGCGAGGAGCCACUUGCCAGACACCAGUGACUGAUCAGCUCCGGAGGACGUGCCAUGUUCAGAGAUGCCCCACCUGUCUUGUUCUUGAUAAGGACACCCCGCUUGACUGAGAAUUAUAGUGGAGAUCAACCCAACGGCCUCAAAUUCCAGGGACCUGCAGAUGGAUACUAGUGUCCUUCAAUAUCAAGAUUCUGGAAUUCUUGCCUCCUUAUUUAUUCAAAUGGAUUAACUGAGAACCUACUGUGUGCAGACAGCAUUCUCAGUGCUGGGAUACAAGCAUGAACAAGACAAGGCAAGGAGACUGGUCCUUUGCCCAGAUCCCACAGCCAGAGAGGGGCGAGGCAGGAUGGAAACCCUGGUCUGUGUCCCUCGGAGCCUGGGCCCUGGGAUGUGUGAGUCUCUUCUGGCUUCUGUAACAAAUGACCACUAACUGGCUAGAGACAGCACAACUGUAGCAUCUUACAGUUCCGGAGCUCAGGAGUCGGAAACGGGCCUUGCCUGGCUAAAAUCAAGGUGUCAGCCGGAAGGCGCUCUCCCUGGAGGCUCUAGGGGAGAAAGUUGUUUCUUGCCUUUUCCAGCUUUUAGAGGCUGCCUGCAUUCCUUGGCUCAUAGCCGCCUCUUCCAUGUUCAAGGCCAGCAAUGGAGCAUCCUUAAAUCUCCCUUUCUGACUCUGGCCGUCCUGUCUCCCUCUUAUGAGGACCCUUGUGAUGACACUGGCUCCUCCAGAUCAGCCAGGAUCACCUCCCCACUUGGAGAUCCUUGACUUCCUCACAUCUGUAAAGUCCCUUCUGCCGUGUGACAUAUAAGGAGGCCAAGAUGCGUCUGAUCUUUAAAAGACUAAAGCCCCCCAAACAAGUCUGAGGAGACUCCUGGCUUGUUUUUAUUUUGGCCAGGAAAGUUUUCCAAUAUCCCUGGCCUUCAGGCUUGUCCCCUAGGAGGAUGGAGGGACUGAGCUGGGGAGAUGUCUGUGAAUGGGGGUGGGGUGGAUUCACAGGUUUCAGGGGUUAGAACGCCAGUGUCUUUGGGACCCAUUAUUCUGCCUUCCACUGCGUGGAUGAUGGGAAAGCUCCUGGUUCCAGGGCGCAAACUUAGCCUGGCUCUUUGGCCUCUCUGUGCCUCAGUUUAUAUAAUGAGGGUGAGGAGAAUAUCUGUUGGGGUUGUUGAAGUAGUGAAGGAGUUGGUAAUUGAAAAGUGCUAAGCAUAUGCCAGGCACUGUGGACACAUGCGCUGUACCUUUUGGGAGGGCACAUCCCUCCCCCACCUGCUACCACCCCACCCAGGCUGGCAUGCAGUGGUGCAAUCACAGCUCACUGCAGCCUUGACUUUCCGGGGCUUAAGUCAUCCUCCCACCUCAGCCUCCGGAGUAGCUGGGACCACAGGUGCACACCAUUACACCCAGCUAAUUUUUAAAUUUUUUGUAGAGACGGGGUUUUGCCAUGUUGUCUAGGCUGGAAGUCCAUCUGACAUUGAAGUUCUCUUUCAGUUUUGACAUCUGAUCCAUCUAGGGCUGUGUGUGUGUGACAGUGUGUGUGUGAUUGUGUGUGUGUGUAUGAUUGUGUGUGUGUAUGAUUGUGUGUGUGUGUAUGUGUGCACAUGUCUUUAUGGGGAUUGAGGGUGGGUGGAACAGAGACUGGGAGAGACACUUUGUGAAAUGUUUAUAUUUUAUGCCUUUUGAUGUAAUUCCAACUAGAUCUUAAAUCAUGCAGCAGGAAGCUCCUUAAAAUUUUUAAUUUGUUGUUUUUCUUAGAAAUGAUUAUUUCCACAUUGCGCCCAGAGACACUCGUGCCUCGUCCUGCCUCCCAUCCUUGUGCUGUUCUAAAAGGUCCCCAGGCGGUGGUUGUUUACUGCUGCCAAUCAGGUGGGCUUUGCACAAACCAUGCUUUGGGCCCACCCUGUCGUUCUGUGAAGCUGUAAUAUCUUUGGGAAGAUUUUUAUAGCUUGUCCCACAUAGGCUGGGGCUGGGAUAUUUAGAAGAAGGCCAACCUGUAGAUUCCUUGCUAAAAACCACAUGGUAUUUUACAAGACGGGUUGAGAGGGAGAGCUGGGGCUGGGUGUGGGGCGGCAUAGAGCUGGAUUCUUGGGGAAU
rnacentral:lncRNA from 1 species